rnacentral:rRNA from 1 species
GAUGAACGCUGGCGGCGUGCCUAAUACAUGCAAGUCGAGCGAACAGAUGAUGAGCUUGCUCCUCUGACGUUAGCGGCGGACGGGUGAGUAACACGUGGAUAACCUACCUAUAAGACUGGGAUAACUUCGGGAAACCGGAGCUAAUACCGGAUAAUAUAUUGAACCGCAUGGUUCAAUAGUGAAAGUCGGUUUUGCUGUCACUUAUAGAUGGAUCCGCGCCGCAUUAGCUAGUUAGUAAGGUAACGGCUUACCAAGGCAACGAUGCGUAGCCGACCUGAGAGGGUGAUCGGCCACACUGGAACUGAGCCACGGUCCAGACUCCUACGGGAGGCAGCAGUAGGGAAUCUUCCGCAAUGGGCGAAAGCCUGACGGAGCAACGCCGCGUGAGUGAUGAAGGUCUUCGGAUCGUAAAACUCUGUUAUUGGGGAAGAACAAAUGUGUAAGUAACUAUGCACGUCUUGACGGUACCUAAUCAGAAAGCCACGGCUAACUACGUG